GUGGCGAACGGGUGAGUAACACGUGGGUAAUCUGCCCUGUACUCUGGGAUAAGCCUGGGAAACUGGGUCUAAUACCGGAUAUGACCUUUCACCGCAUGGUGGGGGGUGGAAAGUUCCGGCGGUAUGGGAUGAACCCGCGGCCUAUCAGCUUGUUGGUGGGGUAAUGGCCUACCAAGGCGACGACGGGUAGCCGGCCUGAGAGGGUGACCGGCCACACUGGGACUGAGACACGGCCCAGACUCCUACGGGAGGCAGCAGUGGGGAAUAUUGCACAAUGGGCGCAAGCCUGAUGCAGCGACGCCGCGUGAGGGAUGACGGCCUUCGGGUUGUAAACCUCUUUCGCCAGGAACGAAGCGCGAGUGACGGUACCUGGAUAAGAAGCACCGGCUAACUACGUGCCAGCAGCCGCGGUAAUACGUAGGGUGCGAGCGUUGUCCGGAAUUAUUGGGCGUAAAGAGCUCGUAGGCGGUUUGUCGCGUCGGCUGUGAAAUCUGGAGGCUCAACCUUCAGUCUGCAGUCGAUACGAGCAAACUUAAGUGUUGCAGGGAAAAUGGGAUUUCUGGGGGAACGGUGGAAUGGCCCAAAUAUCAGGAGAAACACCGGGGGCGAAGGCGGUCCUCUGGCCCAAUACUGACGCUGAAGAAGCGAAAGG
rnacentral:rRNA from 1 species